rnacentral:misc_RNA from 1 species
GUACCUUCAAGCUCUGCUUGGUGUUGGGUGUUUGUCCACUAUCGUGGACUCGCCUUAAAGUCAUUGGCAGCCAGUGUUUUGGUAUUGAAGCGCAGCACAUUUUGCGCCUCUAGCCUAGAACACUAGCACCCAGUAAGCCUUUUUCCAC